UAGGCAAUGCUAAGCAGCGGCGCAGUAUCCUAGUCGGAGCUGCCGUUUCCUAAGAAGGGCCUAAAAAUCCUUUAAAGGGCACAACUGUGAAGCCUUUGGUGCCUGCUUCUUACGCCCAGUUUGGGGUGGGUGCUGAAGGGAGGCGAAAGCGAAAGCUGCGCCUGCGGACUCCGGGCGACCCCUAAUGGCAUGGGGGAACCGACCCUGUUUCUGCGGAGACUCGUUGCUGUGCCGGAGCGGACUCCCGGUUUCGGGUAUCGACUUCGGUACGGGACGGGAUAUGAACCUGCAUUGCGGUGCUACCCGGCCUUUGUGCCGCGAACGCUGUGUGCAGCGUAGCCUGCCUUGCGUGGGGAAUUCGGAUAGGAGAACAACGUACAGACUCCGGCCAAGAGCGAAGUACGAUCGCUCCUUGAAAUUUUUCCUGCAAAAGAGGAUAAGAAACGGCGUGACUCCGGGGUGGAAAUCACCUAGGCUGUCGCAAGGGCAGCGAAAGGGUUACAGUGCGGACUAAGUGGCAAUCGGGUACCUCGUCUGGUGACAACGGGGUGCAGCGCCUAAGGGGGAACCGCCUCCAUCGGCAACGAGAGGUGCGCUGCGGGGAAAGCCAACCCGACCUAUGCCGCAGGAUUACCUUUUGCUGCUGCCGCUGAUUAGCAUGAUUAU
rfam:Firmicutes bacterium CAG:129_59_24 Ley3_66761_scaffold_1105, whole genome shotgun sequence.